GAUUGAACGCUGGCGGUAUGCUUAACACAUGCAAGUCGAACGGAAACGAUACUAGCUUGCUAGUAGGCGUCGAGUGGCGGACGGGUGAGUAACGCGUAGGAAUCUGCCUGAUAGUGGGGGAUAGCCCGAAGAAAUUCGGAUUAAUACCGCAUAAUCUAUUCGUAGUAAAGUGGGGGACUUUCGAGCCUCACGCUAUCAGAUGAGCCUGCGUAAGAUUAGCUAGUUGGUAGGGUAAAAGCCUACCAAGGCAACGAUCUUUAGCUGGUCUGAGAGGAUGAUCAGCCACAUCGGGACUGAGACACGGCCCGAACUCCUACGGGAGGCAGCAGUGGGGAAUAUUGGACAAUGGGGGCAACCCUGAUCCAGCAAUACCGCGUGUGUGAAGAAGGCCUGAGGGUUGUAAAGCACUUUCAAUUGUGAAGAAAAGUUAACGGUUAAUAACCGUUAGCCUUGACGUUAACUUUAGAAGAAGCACCGGCUAACUCCGUGCCAGCAGCCGCGGUAAUACGGAGGGUGCAAGCGUUAAUCGGAAUUACUGGGCGUAAAGCGUGCGUAGGCGGUUUAUUAAGUCAGAUGUGAAAGCCCUGGGCUUAACCUGGGAACUGCAUUUGAAACUGGUCAACUAGAGUAUGGUAGAGGAAAGUGGAAUUUCUGGUGUAGCGGUGAAAUGCGUAGAUAUCAGAAGGAACAUCAAUGGCGAAGGCAGCUUUCUGGACCAAUACUGACGCUGAGGUACGAAAGCGUGGGUAGCAAACAGGAUUAGAUACCCUGGUAGUCCACGCCGUAAACGAUGAUAACUAGCCGUUGGGGGGAUUUACCCUUUAGUGGCGAAGCUAACGCGUUAAGUUAUCCGCCUGGGGAGUACGGCCGCAAGGUUAAAACUCAAAGGAAUUGACGGGGACCCGCACAAGCGGUGGAGCAUGUGGUUUAAUUCGAUGCAACGCGAAGAACCUUACCUGGUCUUGACAUCCUGCGAACUUUCUAGAAAUAGAUUGGUGCCUUCGGGAACGCAGUGACAGGUGCUGCAUGGCUGUCGUCAGCUCGUGUCGUGAGAUGUUGGGUUAAGUCCCGUAACGAGCGCAACCCCUAUCCUUAUUUGCCAGCACGUCAUGGUGGGAACUAUAAGGAGACUGCCGGUGAUAAACCGGAGGAAGGCGGGGACGACGUCAAGUCAUCAUGGCCCUUACGACCAGGGCUACACACGUGCUACAAUGGGAAGGACAAAGAGCCGCGAAGCCGCGAGGUGUAGCUAAUCUCAGAAAUCUUUUCGUAGUCCGGAUUGGAGUCUGCAACUCGACUCCAUGAAGUCGGAAUCGCUAGUAAUCGUAGAUCAGAAUGCUACGGUGAAUACGUUCCCGGGUCUUGUACACACCGCC
rnacentral:rRNA from 1 species